rfam:Clostridia bacterium BRH_c25 BRHa_1003816, whole genome shotgun sequence.
GGAGUCCGGAAUUAUGGACGGGCAAUGACAUGGGGGCGGUUCGUGCGCCAAGCGUAGACAGCAAGGUAGUAGGCCGAAAGCAAUUCGCACAAGCUGAAGGGAUUGAGCCCCGAAAUCCCCAUUGGGAAGGUUGAUGCUGUGAACCGAGCAGAAAACAACACCAAUAUGUUCGAUAAGCAAGAAUAUACUAGCUUCCCCGGGGUCAGUGACCU